UAUGUGAUCGUCUCUCGCAUAUCAAUAAGCGGAGGAAAAGAAACUAACAAGGAUUCCCCUAGUAACGGCGAGUGAAGCGGGAAGAGCUCAAAUUUGAAAUCUUAAAGGGUUUCCCUUUACGAAUUGUAGUUUAAAGAAGUGUUUUCUGUUGAGGUUUUGGUAAAAGUUCUUUGGAAUAGGACAUCAUAGAGGGUGAGAAUCCCGUAUUUGACCUUUACUUUCAACUUUGUGAUACACUUUCAAAGAGUCGGAUUGUUUGGGAAUGCAGUCCAAGAUGGGUGGUAAAUUUCAUCUAAAGCUAAAUAUUGGCGAGAGACCGAUAGCGAACAAGUACCGUGAGGGAAAGAUGAAAAGAACUUUGAAAAGAGAGUUAAACAGUACGUGAAAUUGUCAAAAGGGAAGCGUUUGACACCAGUGUUGUUUUUCUGAAAAUCAAUUAAAGAACUGUUUAUGCUAAGUUGUUUAGACUUUAUCAGCUAACUGUUUAGUUUUGAGCUUUUCUUUAAUGCACUUUUCAGUUAACAAGUCAACAUCAAUUUCUUUUGCUGUAAAAAAGCUUGAGGAGGGUGGCUUGAGAUUCGUCUUAAGUGUUUAUAGCCUCUUGCCUAUGCAGUCGGAGAGAUUGAGGUCUGCAGCGUAGAUCCUUCGGGGCUAAAUGCAUCUGUGCUAAGUUAUAGCAUUUUAUAGACAACUUGUUGACUAUGAUUUGUCUUGUAGCUUACUCGCUUAUGUUAUUUUACCUACGCUUAGGAUGUUGACACACGCGCGUGCUCG
rnacentral:rRNA from 1 species